UUGACCUCAAAUCAGGUAGGACUACCCGUGAAC
rnacentral:rRNA from 1 species